UUAGUAAGGCAUGUAUGAAAUGAAGACGAUGGAGGAAGAAAUGUUCCUAGUAAGGCCCAUGUUGUUAAAAGUUUUAGGGACACUAAGUGCUGAUCGCGUUGUUGUUAAACUGCAAAUGCUGACAUGAAAUACGAAAGCGAUGCUUGAAGACUCGUAUUUCUGAAAAGAUUUGCUAAAGGAUAGGGAAAUUUUUUUAAGUUGUGGGACUUUCAAGAUAAAGAUGGAUCACAAACUUGAUUUUGGGAAGACAUCUGGGAUAUCACCCUCAAAGAGCAAUUUUCAACAUGCAUAAUAUGCUCUACUAUCCUCAUGCUAUAGUGGCAAAUGUUAUGAACCAGACGCCAUGGAAUAUCUCUUUAGAAGAGCUUUAG
rnacentral:lncRNA from 1 species